UGGGGAAUAUUGCGCAAUGGGCGAAAGCCUGAUGCAGCAACGCCGCGUGCGGGAAGACAGCCCUAGGGUUGUAAACCGCUUUCAGCAGGGAAGAAACUGACGGUACCUGCAGAAGAAGAUGCGGCCAACUACGUGCCAGCAGCCGCGUGACACGUAGGCAUCAAGCGUUAUCCGGAUUUAUUGGGCGUAAAGAGCUCGUAGGCGGUUCGGUAAGUCGGGUGUGAAAACUCUGGGCUCAACCCAGAGAGGCCACUCGAUACUGCUGUGACUAGAGUGCGGGUAGGGGAGCGGGGAAUUCCUGGUGUAGCGGUGAAAUGCGCAGAUAUCAGGAGGGAACACCAGUGGCGAAGGCGCCGCUCUGGGCCGUAACUGACGCUGAGGAGCGAAAGCAUGGGUAGCAAACAGGAUUAGAUACCCUGGUAGUCCAUGCCGUAAACGUUGGGCACUAGGUGUGGGUCUCAACCGAACGAGAUCCGCGCCGUCGCUAACGCAUUAAGUGCCCGCCUGGGAGUACGGUCGCAAG
rnacentral:rRNA from 1 species